rnacentral:rRNA from 1 species
AUGGCGCGCAGGAGCGGAGCCUUCUCGCGCUUGGCCGUCGUCGUCGUCGCGGCCUACUGCCUCGCCGCCGCGACGCCCGGGGCUGCCGACUGGAUCAAGGGCUCCGCCACCUUCUACGGCGGGAGCAACGCCGCCGGCACCAUGGGGGGCGCUUGCGGGUACGGCAACCUGUACUCGACGGGGUACGGGACGAACACGGCGGCGCUGAGCACGUCGCUCUUCAACGACGGGGCGGCGUGCGGGGAGUGCUACCAGGUGCAGUGCGACCAGGGCAGCUCCCCGAACUGCAAGCCGGGGGUGACGGUCACCAUCACCGCCACCAACCUCUGCCCGACGGACUACUCCAAGCCCAACGACAACGGCGGCUGGUGCAACCCGCCGCGGAAGCACCUGGACAUGGCGCAGCCCGCGUGGGAGCGCAUCGGCGUCUACCGCGCCGGCAUCGUGCCCAUCCUCUUCCAGCGGGUGUCCUGCUCCAGGAGCGGCGGCGUGCGGUUCACCAUCAACGGCAACAGCUACUUCGAGCUGGUGCUCAUCACCAACGUCGGCGGGCCGGGGUCGAUCAGGGCGGUGCAGAUCAAGGGGUCCCGGACCGGGUGGACCACCAUGUCCCGGAACUGGGGCGCCAACUGGCAGUCCAACAGCUACCUCAACGGGCAGUCCAUCUCCUUCGCCGUCACCGCCACCAACGGCCAGAAGGUGGUCUUCCAGGACGUGGCGCCCAGCAACUGGGGGUUCGGCCAGACCUUCACCAACUCCGGCCAGUUCUACUAG